CCCUUGGGUUGUAAAGGCUCUUUCGGUUGGGAAGAAGGGUAGAUUGGCUAAUAUCCAAUUUACUGGACGGUACCAGAAGAAGAAGCACCGGCUAACUCCGUGC
rnacentral:rRNA from 1 species